AUUGAACGCUGGCGGCAGGCUUAACACAUGCAAGUCGAGCGGGGGAAGGUAGCUUGCUACCGGACCUAGCGGCGGACGGGUGAGUAAUGCUUAGGAAUCUGCCUAUUAGUGGGGGACAACAUCUCGAAAGGGAUGCUAAUACCGCAUACGUCCUACGGGAGAAAGCAGGGGAUCUUCGGACCUUGCGCUAAUAGAUGAGCCUAAGUCGGAUUAGCUAGUUGGUGGGGUAAAGGCCUACCAAGGCGACGAUCUGUAGCGGGUCUGAGAGGAUGAUCCGCCACACUGGGACUGGAACACGGCCCAGACUCCUACGGGAGGCAGCAGUGGGGAAUAUUGGACAAUGGAGGGAACCCUGAUCCAGCCAUGCCGCGUGUGUGAAGAAGGCCUUAUGGUUGUAAAGCACUUUAAGCGAGGAGGAGGCUACUUUAGUUAAUACCUAGAGAUAGUGGACGUUACUCGCAGAAUAAGCACCGGCUAACUCUGUGCCAGCCGCCGCCGUAA
rnacentral:rRNA from 1 species